AGUGCUCCAGGGUUCUCACAGUGCUGAAAAGAAGUAUGCCUGCCUUUAUCACAUCCUGACAGUUACCUAAAACCCAGAAAAACACAAGGGCAUGAAACACUCAGGCUCUGAUUUGGGUUUAAAAGGAAAAAGUGAAGAGGACAUCCCAGCCCCUGCCCAGAAUCACAGCACCUGCACUGUUUUCUUCUGCCCUCUGGCUGCACAUGUGGCCAGUAGAAGAUAAUAAAGGUGGAUUGCAUUGGACAGAAAAGAGUGAUGUUACAUUUUCUGGCACAAGCCACUGCCUUUAUCUUGAACAGCAUCUCCCGAGUACUGUGGGAACAAAGAUGCUGUGCUUGGCUUGCCUGAAGAAAAAAGAAUUCAGCAACAUGAGCUGGAAAUCAUCAGAAAGGCGGGCUAAGAUGAGAAGAAUUUCAGAGUUACAGAGGAACUACAGAACAAACUUUCGAUCCUCUGCUGUGUAGAGCCUGGUUUUAGAUAUUUAUUUUGAUCCCAAGAAACUCCAGUUAUCCAGUCCUAAAUAUCUGGUCACUAAUAUAUCACUCAGGUAAUAUUUCUUACAGGAAAAUUCUGUGAACACACCAGUCUAAUGAAAUAUCCUCAGUAAUGGUCUCUGUAAUUUCCCUUUUAUUAGCUUUGUCAUACAUAUUUUAUUUGAAUAUAUCCUCCUGGAGAAUGCUUAAAAUUAGGAGGUUUUAUUCCUGCCUUUCCUUGCUAGUUCUCUAAACUGGAUAUUUAAAGAUGUUUUAAUAACUCCUGAUAAAUCAGCAUUGUUGGAGUUUAUUACUGUGCUUUUUUUGCAUAACGUCCCACCAAGGCCUUUCUGCUAUUACAUUACACAGACUUGAACACUGUAGGAUACAUUUUAAUUCUCUAAACCGAGUCCGAGUUUUCUGAAAAUGUGGACAGAAAUUUGCAUUAACGUCUACCAAGUCAAAAUAGAAUGAAAAAUGUUUAGGUGUAGAAAAAUAAUUGUUUUAUUACUAAAGUAUGUAAAUUACCAGAAUAUUCCAUUAUUUGCUAAAAAUCAGGAAACUCUUAGCAUAAAUAAACCAAGAAGAGAAUGCUAUUUUUGGACAUUUAAGUUGACAUACACCUAGAAAGAGAUAUUUCUUCUUAGUACACUGUGCCUCAAAAGUCAAUUUCCCAUUUACAGGCAAAUGGAAAAUAAAUCACUUUAUGUCACUUUGCUGAGAGCAAAGGAUGUUUAAAAUAAUAAUGUCAGUAUAGCAUGAUAUUUUCUCUUCCAUCAACUCUGAUGUCAUGUUUGAUACUAUGUUAUUGUGUUUUAGGUCCCAAGAUGAAAUGAUUGGCGUAUGAAUCAUUUUGACUUUGACCUAGGAAAAAUUGGGAAAUGAUAACUUGUCUAAAGGAUUUAUCUUCUGACUGUUGGAAAGUGUAAAACAAUCUAAAAAUGUUCUUUAAUGAUACCUCUUUUUAUGCAAUGCAGCUCAGGAAAAUAUGACCUAGUACUAUACUAUGAAUUAUGCUAAAAUGCAACAUUACAGAGGCACAUGUAUUUGCCAUGAAAACUGAUAGUAAUGUAGGUGUCCAGUGUCUAAAAACCUGGUUUAAUACAUCACAUGUAUUUGUUGUGAUAGGUACCACUGAAAAAUAAAUAUUUACCUGUAGUUUGCUGUGUGAUGUUUUUUUCCUGAGAGUUAUAAAUCAUAUUAAUGUCUAGGGUCCCAAUUUUGUGUCAGGUCUUAGGAAAAGAAUAUCCUGUGUAGGGUGCUGACUACCUUGUAAUUUUUGGAAUUACUUCAGGAUAUUAUUGCAGACUACCAGCAACCCUAUCUUUCCUAGUAUAUUCCUAUAAUAUAAUAAUCUGCCCUGGAAAUGGUAAACUUCUUACAUCCAAAAUCUUCAAAGUAGAAAAAAUAUAUUUCCCAGGUAUUCUGGGAAUGAACAUUUCCUGGAUUCAGUGUAACAUGCUUUUAAUUACAUAGCAUAGGGUAAAAUCAUCACAGAUCUCCUUUGCCAAGUUAACUUUUUAAACUAACUUUACAAUAGAUUUAUAUUACCUGUGGAUAUGUAGUAGUAAAGCCAAACCUGUUUGAUUUUCAAACCAUCACAAUUUAAAGAGCUAUAAUUCAUAUUUAAUGAAGAAAAAUUUAUAUGAAAACUUCCACAACCAUUUAACAAGAGACUUUAUGAGCAGGUUUUUUCACUUUGCUAAAAGCCCUUCACCUAAUCCUUUAAUUUUAUAGGCUGAUGCAAUGUGUUUAGAAGAAGUUAGGAAUUUUGAUAAUAUUUUUAUAAAAAUCCUAAUAUUAGAAAUAACUACUUGUUAGAGUUACAUGGGAUGCUGGCAAAUUUCCUGAAAUGUCUAGAAAUUCCUUUUUUAAUGACAAAAGUGACUUAUUGCAAGUAGAAUAAGGAAAAGAAUCAAGUCUUUAUGUCACUGACAUUGAUGAUAUAAAUUUGAACUCAGAAGUCUACAUUCCCUUUCUAUGUAAGUACUAAGUUAGGGCAUGAAAGCAACACAGUGAAUAGGGCUGGAUUUCUGUAAUGCCUUGGCAAAGUAUGAUGAAAUCUUAAUCUUACAACUGCAUUAGGUCUGCCUGAACUCAAACAUUAGAAUAUGCUUUUCAGUCUGACUUAAAUAAAAAAAUUAAUGAGAAAAAAAUUAUUGUGAGUCUGGUUGGGAAUUAUUUGCCCUGAAUUAGUUAAAGCCUAAAUUUAAAAUCCUCAUCACUUCUCUGGAAAAGAGCGUUGUCAAUUACAGGUCAUAUGGAGGAGCUGAACACACCUGUGAUA